GAUGAACGCUGGCGGCGUGCCUAACACAUGCAAGUCGAACGGACUUACAUUGAAGCCUAGCGAUAUGUAAGUUAGUGGCGGACGGGUGAGUAACGCGUGGGUAACCUGCCUUGUACUGGGGGACAACAGUUGGAAACGACUGCUAAUACCGCAUGACGCAUAGAGGUCGCAUGAUCUUUAUGCCAAAGAUUUAUCGCUUCAAGAUGGCCUCGCGUCUGAUUAGCUAGUUGGCGGGGUAACGGCCCACCAAGGCGACGAUCAGUAGCCGGACUGAGAGGUUGAACGGCCACAUUGGGACUGAGAUACGGCCCAGACUCCUACGGGAGGCAGCAGUGGGGAAUAUUGGGCAAUGGGCGCAAGCCUGACCCAGCAACGCCGCGUGAAGGAAGAAGGCUUUCGGGUUGUAAACUUCUUUUAAGAGGGAAGAGCAGAAGACGGUACCUCUAGAAUAAGCCACGGCUAACUACGUG
rnacentral:rRNA from 1 species